AUUGAACGCUGGCGGCAGGCCUAACACAUGCAAGUCGAACGAGUGGCGGACGGGUGAGUAAUGUCUGGGAAACUGCCUGAUGGAGGGGGAUAACUACUGGAAACGGUAGCUAAUACCGCAUACCAUCAGAUGUGCCCAGAUGGGAUUAGCUAGUUGGUGGGGUAACGGCUCACCAAGGCGACGAUCCCUAGCUGGUCUGAGAGGAUGACCAUCAACACAGGAACUGAGACACGGAUCAGAAGCCGACGGGAGGAAGCAGUGGGGAAGAAUGCACAAUAGGCGAUAGCCUGAUGCAGCCAUGCCGCGUGUAUGAAGAAGGACUUCGGGUUGUAAAGUACUUUCAGCGGGGAGGCGUUACCCGCAGAAGAAGCACCGGCUAACUCCGUGCCAGCCGCCGCGGUAAUAC
rnacentral:rRNA from 1 species